UUGACCUCAGAUCAGGUAGGAAUACCCGCUGAACUU
rnacentral:rRNA from 2 species